GUCACCAUGUGAAGAAGAUCCUUGCUUCCCCUUCACCUUCUGCCAUGAUUUUAAGUUUCUUGAGACCUCCCCAGCCAUGUGGAACUGUAAGAUGAAGUAAACACAUGGCAGCCUCUCUCUCCCACGGACGAUACAACCUUGAUAGAGGGCAUGGUGCAGCUAUUUGAAUGAUCCGAACAGUAAAUACCAGCAAGUGGAUGGGUGAAAACAACCAGGAUUCCAAGUACCACAAAACUGGUGUUGAGUUGUGCACACUUUUUCCUCUGGAAUCUCUUGAGCAGAACUCAGCAUGGCCUGAAACCCAGGAGUGAGCAGCACGGUGCCGACAGAGAGAUGUAGAAGAAAACCUCUGGUUCUGGCUCAAGCAGUGGACAAGGAGACUCCUGAAACUCAGAGCCUGGGGGGUCCCCUAAUGGUGUUCUUUACUUUCUCUCCAUUCUCACAUUCCAGCCACCAGAGAAUGCAAGAGAGGAGUAGCAGUGGCAGUAAAUGUGGCAUCAACAACAACAAAAAAAAGCAGAGACUAGGACUCUGAGGAAGGGAAGCCUAUAUUCUGGCCUCAGGGUGCUCUUUCUUCCUGCCUAGGGGUCAUAUACCACCUGUGGGCACCUCAGGACUCCUGAUAACCUCACUUUUACCUGUUGCCUUUUUAGCCCAGGAUCAGUAGGUAUGGGGCUGCACAUGCCCUUGAGGACACAGCAGCUGUCACAUAAGGGAGCCUGGCUCCAGACCCCUCUGUAAAUAUCCCAUGGCUGGGCCCUGCCCAUCACCCCACCCAGGCCUCCUCAAAUGAGGAGCUCAAGCUGGCCCAUGGGGCCAAAGUG
rnacentral:lncRNA from 1 species